rnacentral:rRNA from 1 species
CCUACGGGAGGCAGCAGUCGAGAAUCAUUCACAAUGGGGGAAACCCUGAUGGUGCGACGCCGCGUGGGGGAAUGAAGGUCUUCGGAUUGUAAACCUCUUUUGCCGGGGAGCAACGGGGUCCUUGCGAGGGCCCGAUGAGAGUACCCGGAGAAAAAGCAUCGGCUAACUCCGUGCCAGCAGCCGCGGUAAUACGGAGGAUGCGAGCGUUAUCCGGAUUUAUUGGGUUUAAAGGGUGCGUAGGCGGGCUGUUAAGUCAGCGGUCAAAUGUCGGGGCUCAACCCCGGCCUGCCGUUGAAACUGGCGGCCUCGAGUGGGCGAGAAGUAUGCGGAAUGCGUGGUGUAGCGGUGAAAUGCAUAGAUAUCACGCAGAACUCCGAUUGCGAAGGCAGCAUACCGGCGCCCGACUGACGCUGAGGCACGAAAGCGUGGGUAUCGAACAGGAUUAGAUACCCCUGUAGUC